GGCAUUUCUCGGACGAAUGCGUUAAUCGUGUAGCCGUAGGCGUUCGCGAUCGGCUGCGUUGGUGCUGCCCGUUGCAUCCGCGUUCACACAGCGGUUUCGUGACACGCGAGCUUCGAUUCUUGCCGUUCUCUCGUCCGCUGGAAGAUCAGCCGAGUAAAUGAGAAAACGCGCUGCUCGAGUGCCACGGGACAAUUCGACCGCCGAUUGUGAAUGCAUUGAACAGCAGCGCAUUUACAUUCUGUAUAUUAGAGGAUACUCGAAGCGGUACCGCCAUUUUGAAACGGUUGCAUUACGAGCAUGUUUGAACAAGUUUGAACGGUUGAUUGCGAAUCACCUGUUACGAGCACAAAAAGCGGAUAUGUGGUCUACGCCCGCCUUCCGAAUCGUGUAUCCCAUCUUAGGGUUAUUGGCCCUAACGAGCGUGGGGUUCGAUCGCCCGAUUAGUUUCAUCGGGGAACCCUCUCGGAUUUGAAAUAAUCGAUCGUCAGUGGGUACAUGUUAUCGCGCAAGGUUCUUCAACAGCUUGGAGUCGGCUCUGCUCUCCAAACUUUGUAAUCAGAAGUGAGCGCUCGAAAAAGCAAGGAUUUUGGAAUCAACAUGGUGAAAAUUCCAUUCCUCGGCUAACUUUCAACCGACCUUAGGACAAAGUUCCAUUUCGCAGUUUAAUCGCAAAGUCACGCGAUGUUGGAAACGGAAAGUUGAAAAACGAACAAAACGACUCCCCCGGGAUUGGCAGAAAUGUUUUGGUAGAAAUGUUUUGACGAAAUGUUCAGGAUCGACCGCAAAUCUACCCAGACAAUGUCCAUAAUGUCGGUAAUGCUGAGGUCGCAUGUCGGCGUGACACCCCGUGUAUUUGGCGUGGCGCGAUUCUAAUCGAACUUUCCACUCGAUAAGGCGAAACGAAAGGGAUGAAUGGAGCUGCCAGCAACGUCGUCGUGGCACGAGGAGCAUGACGUCCCUAUCUGAAACACAAUGACGUGACGUCGGGAGCGGGACUAUGAAAUCGAGCGGAAACUCGGCAGCUGUGACAGACUUCGGUGUUUUUUGGAGCUUUCGAAAAAAGAUUCGGGGAUUCGCGUGUACACAUGCAGCUAUAUGCGACGUGCAUGUCGGUCUCCCGCUUCGGAUGUCUCCCCCGUCGAGAGAGAGAGAGAGAG